ensembl:lncRNA
CAACCAAUCAGGAUCUAGGUCUCAGAAAACCAGAGUGAGACACGGAGACAGGGGAUACUGACUCUCACUCCUUAUCAUCUCUUCAACAUCUCUUCCAGAGAAAACACAGUAGUCUGAGAGAAACAACUUUAAAGAAUGGCUAAAUGCAGUUCUUCAUUGUGAAAAAAAAUGACAACAGAAAAAAUCCUGGGGCAUCAGAAAGGGAUGAAAAACAAUGGAAAGUGCAGAUAUACGGAUACAUACAAUGGGCCACCCUCCUCAUAAGUUUUCUAGAUCAUAUGUGAUGACUGAAAGAAUUAUAGCAACAGCUGAUACACAAAGC